rnacentral:rRNA from 1 species
CUUGCUGGGUGGAUCAGUGGCGAACGGGUGAGUAACACGUGAGCAACCUGCCCCUGACUCUGGGAUAAGCGCUGGAAACGGCGUCUAAUACUGGAUACGAGUAGCGACCGCAUGGUCAGUUACUGGAAAGAUUUAUUGGUUGGGGAUGGGCUCGCGGCCUAUCAGCUUGUUGGUGAGGUAAUGGCUCACCAAGGCGUCGACGGGUAGCCGGCCUGAGAGGGUGACCGGCCACACUGGGACUGAGACACGGCCCAGACUCCUACGGGAGGCAGCAGUGGGGAAUAUUGCACAAUGGGCGCAAGCCUGAUGCAGCAACGCCGCGUGAGGGAUGACGGCCUUCGGGUUGUAAACCUCUUUUAGCAGGGAAGAAGCGAAAGUGACGGUACCUGCAGAAAAAGCGCCGGCUAACUACGUGCCAGCAGCCGCGGUAAUACGUAGGGCGCAAGCGUUAUCCGGAAUUAUUGGGCGUAAAGAGCUCGUAGGCGGUUUGUCGCGUCUGCUGUGAAAUCCGGAGGCUCAACCUCCGGCCUGCAGUGGGUACGGGCAGACUAGAGUGCGGUAGGGGAGAUUGGAAUUCCUGGUGUAGCGGUGGAAUGCGCAGAUAUCAGGAGGAACACCGAUGGCGAAGGCAGAUCUCUGGGCCGUAACUGACGCUGAGGAGCGAAAGGGUGGGGAGCAAACAGGCUUAGAUACCCUGGUAGUCCACCCCGUAAACGUUGGGAACUAGUUGUGGGGUCCAUUCCACGGAUUCCGUGACGCAGCUAACGCAUUAAGUUCCCCGCCUGGGGAGUACGGCCGCAAGGCUAAAACUCAAAGGAAUUGACGGGGACCCGCACAAGCGGCGGAGCAUGCGGAUUAAUUCGAUGCAACGCGAAGAACCUUACCAAGGCUUGACAUAUACGNAAGAACGGGCCAGAAAUGGUCAACUCUUUUGGACACUCGUAAACAGGGGGGUGCAUGGGUUGUCGUCAGCUCC